CCCUUAGAUGUUCUGGGCCGCACGCGCGCUACACUGACGAUGGCAACGAGUUUUUCCUUCGCCUAAAGGUGUGGGUAAUCUUUUGAAACAUCGUCGUGCUGGGGAUAGAUCAUUGCAAUUUUUGAUCUUGAACGAGGAAUUCCUAGUAAGCGCGAGUCAUCAGCUCGCGUUGAUUACGUCCCUGCCCUUUGUACACACCGCCCGUCGCUACUACCGAUUGAAUGGUUUAGUGAGGACUCCUGAUUGGCGCCGCCGCCCCGGCAACGGAGCAGCGGACUGCCGAAAAGUUGUUCAAACUUGAUCAUUUAGAGGAAGUAAAAGUCGUAACA
rnacentral:rRNA from 1 species